rnacentral:rRNA from 1 species
UACAGAGGGGGCGAGCGUUGUUCGGAAUUACUGGGCGUAAAGGGCGCGUAGGUGGUUCUGUAUGUCUACCGUGAAAGCGUACGGCUCAACCGUAUUUUGUCGGUGGAAACUGCAGGACUUGAGGCUGGGAGGGGCUGGUGGAAUUCCCUGUGUAGCGGUGAAAUGCGUAGAGAUGGGGGAGAACACUCGUGGCGAAGGCGGCCAGCUAGACCAGUUCUGACACUGAGGCGCGACAGCGUGGGGAGCAAACAGG